CAGUCGCCGCGGUAAUACGGAGGGUGCAAGCGUUAAUCGGAAUUACUGGGCGUAAAGCGUGCGUAGGUGGUGGUUUAAGUCCGUUGUGAAAGCCCUGGGCUCAACCUGGGAAUUGCAGUGGAUACUGGGUCACUAGAGUGUGGUAGAGGAUAGUGGAAUUUCCGGUGUAGCAGUGAAAUGCGUAGAGAUCGGAAGGAACAUCUGUGGCGAAGGCGACUAUCUGGGCCAACACUGACACUGAGGCACGAAAGCGUGGGGAGCAAACAGGAUUAGAUACCCCAGUAGUCCCUGUCUCUUAUAA
rnacentral:rRNA from 1 species